AGUACGAGCGCACCCCUUAUCCUUAUUUGCCAGCGCAUAAUGGCGGGAACUAUAAGGAGACUGCCGGUCAUAAACCGGAGGAAGGCGGGGACGAGGUCAAGUCAUCAUGGCCCUUAUGGGUAGGGCUACACACGUGAUACAAUGGGUGGUACAGAGGGUCGCCAAAGCGCGAGCUGGAGCCAAACCCUUAAAACCAUUCUUAGUCCGGAUUGGAGUCUGCAACUCGACUCCAUGAAGUCGGAAUCGCUAGUAAUCGCGAAUCAGAAUGUCGCGGUGAAUACGUUCUCGGGCCUUGUACACACCGCCCGUCACGUCAUGGAAGUCGGUGAUACCCGAAGUCAGUGGCCCAACCCCUUGGGGGGGGAGCUGCCGAAGGUAGGAUCGGCGACUGGGAUGAAGUCGUAACAAGGUAGCCGUACGGGAACGUGCGGCUGGAUCA
rnacentral:rRNA from 1 species